GGGCUUGUGGUUUAGUGGUAUAAUACUCCCUUAGCAUCUACGGUUCGUCCGAGAAACUGGGAGUGGUCCGGGGUUCGAUUCCCCGCGAGUCCA